rnacentral:rRNA from 1 species
AUACUGUUGGGCUAGGGGACGGGAGAGGCCGACGGUAUUCCCGGAGUAGGGGUGAAAUCCUAUAAUUCCGGGAGGACCACCAGUGGCGAAGGCUGUCGGCUAGAACGAGCUCGACGGUGAGGGACGAAAGCUGGGGGAGCGAACCGGAUUAGAUACCCGGGUAGUCCCAGCCGUAAACGAUGCGGGCUAGGUGUUAGGGUGGCUACGAGCCACUCUAGUGCCGCAGCGAAGGCAUUAAGCCCGCCGCCUGGGGAGUACGGCCGCAAGGCUGAAACUUAAAGGAAUUGGCGGGAGAGCACCACAAGGCGUGAAGCGUGCGGUUUAAUUGGAGUCAACACCGGAAACCUUACCGGGGGCGACAGCAGGUUGAAGGCCAGAUUGACGAUCUUGCCAGACAAGCUGAGAGGAGGUGCAUGGCCGUCGCCAGUUCGUGCCGUGAGGUGUCCUGUUAAGUCAGGCAACGAUCGAGACCCACGCUCCCUGUUGCUACCGAGGAAAGUUUCCAAGGGGCACUCUGGGAGGACAGCCGCCGAUAAGGCGGA